GACGAACGCUGGCGGCGUGCCUAAUACAUGCAAGUAGAACGCUGAAGGAGGAGCUUGCUCUUCUGGAUGAGUUGCGAACGGGUGAGUAACGCGUAGGUAACCUGCCUGGUAGCGGGGGAUAUCUAUUGGAAACGAUAGCUAAUACCGCAUAAGAGUAGAUGUCGCAUGACAUUUGCUUAAAAGGUGCAAUUGCAUCACUACCAGAUGGACCUGCGUUGUAUUAGCUAGUUGGUGAGGUAACGGCUCACCAAGGCAACGAUACAUAGCCGACCUGAGAGGGUGAUCGGCCACACUGGGACUGAGACACGGCCCAGACUCCUACGGGAGGCAGCAGUAGGGAAUCUUCGGCAAUGGACGGAAGUCUGACCGAGCAACGCCGCGUGAGUGAAGAAGGUUUUCGGAUCGUAAAGCUCUGUUGUAAGAGAAGAACGAGUGUGAGAGUGGAAAGUUCACACUGUGACGGUAUCUUACCAGAAAGGGACGGCUAACUACGUGCCAGCAGCCGCGGUAAUACGUAGGUCCCGAGCGUUGUCCGGAUUUAUUGGGCGUAAAGCGAGCGCAGGCGGUUAGAUAAGUCUGAAGUUAAAGGCUGUGGCUUAACCAUAGUACGCUUUGGAAACUAUUUAACUUGAGUGCAAGGGGGGAGAGUGGAAUUCCAUGUGUAGCGGUGAAAUGCGUAGAUAUAUGGAGGAACACCGGUGGCGAAAGCGGCUCUCUGGCUUGUAACUGACGCUGAGGCUCGAAAGCGUGGGGAGCAAACAGG
rnacentral:rRNA from 1 species